UAGUUUUGCUCAUGCUCUUGAAAGCUUUGUGUUGUGAUCCAGGUUACUCGGAACUUUGUCAGUCAAGGCACCGACGUUUGAUAGUGAGUAAGCAAACAGAGUGGUGGUGAUCAUGGUGGUACUGCAUGAGUACUUUACAAGUACUGUACAUAAAUGUACUGGACUUUCAGACAUCAGCAGUAUUUUUUUGAGUUAAAUGCUAAUCCUCGAGGGACUGAGCUGAACUUUCUUAAACUUUCAUGCGCAUGAAAGUUUAUCUUUGGACAGGUUGAGAUGCAAAGCGUGGAAAAUUCAUCCCAAAAUAAACUUGAGAAAGAUAUGAGCAACUAAGGACUUGUCCACUCACACCAAUUGUUCUGCUCAAACUAUUCCAAUAUAGUUAAAGUGGCACAUUGCAAUUGUAUCACAAUAAGGUUACUUUGUAUAGUUGUUUUUCUCAGGAAAGGGAAAUAAAGUAUACUGGUAUAAAGCACUUUUAUACUGAUAUAACUGUGUUCGCACUGGGGUGUGUACCACUGCAGCAAUUUUGGUUAAGAAAAUCGCAUCCCUAUCCAAAUGAGUUAUACUGGUUCAAAAAAACUUGUGUGGAUCAGGCUUAAGUCCCAAUUUCUAUUCUAACCCCUCUUUGUUAUCCACUAUAAUGCUCACUAGUGCAUCUGUUAUCGGCCUUUAGUAAUUUUUUUUAUCUAAUAGAUUUGUUAAUCUUAUAACCAACCCACUCCACCACCUGCUAUCCGGAUGAACCUGUUAUCAUGUAAGGCUGAUCCUGUGGCUGAAGCGCUGUCUUCGGGUUUUGGAAGUCUGGGUUUGAUUUCUGGUUGUGACUACUAUGCCUUUGGGAAAACCACUUCAUUCUUUUGUGCUGCAGUUCUCCCUCUGAUGAUAGCACUUCCUUUACCUCAGAUUGACCUUGAAGGGAGCUGUGGAUAAAUUCAUCUCAUGUGGCAGAGGAAGAAAGACCAUUUUGGAAGAGGUUGGAGCAGCGAAGGAGAGAUGUGUGGUCCUUGUUUUAGGUUCUUAUGUGUGGCAAUCUACCUGGAACUUGGAGGAACACAGACUACAGGAGAGAAGAAGUUGGAGGAGACACCAAGAAGUAUUUACUUUGUAAUGAGAAUUCACAGUAGCUUGAAUUUGGCUUGAACAUUAGCAGAUGUCUGCACUGGAUCAAGUGAUGCAUGGAGAAAUGCUGCUAGCUGUUCUGCCCCUGCUGUCACUGAGGGGAGGUCUGUGUGAAGAGAGGCUCUACACUGUGCCCACACUGCAAAAUUGGGCUCACCCUGAUAUUUGGUGACAGGGAAUUCCACACCCCAGGUUCAGCCACUAAGAAUACUUGGCCCCUGACAGUUUCACCUUUGGCUCGAUCAGAUGCAACAUCCCCAUUAUGAUCACAGCUGUCAUGACAACAACAAGGAGUCCGUUGGCACCUUAAAGACUAAAUAAAUCUGAGUCUUUAAGGUGCCACCGGACUCGUUGUUGUUUUUCUGGAUACAGACUAACAAGGCUACCCCCUGAUACUUGACAGCUGUCAUAGUAGAUCACAGAGAGAGGGAUGAUUCCUGGUUAGUUGGGACCCAACUGAUUAGACAACUUUAAGAUUGGUAAUAUACAAGAACAUCAAAAAUAUGCACACGUGAACUUGUUAAACACAUUUAUUGAGUUCUUGACAGUAACCAAACACAGUGAAUGACCAUUAUAAACAAGAAAAAAGGCAUUAGCUUUAACUUGGUCAGCUCCUGCUACAUCUGUAAAGAAAAUAUAUCCCUUC